rnacentral:rRNA from 1 species
UGGGGAAUUUUGGACAAUGGGGGCAACCCUGAUCCAGCCAUGCCGCGUGAGUGAAGAAGGCCUUCGGGUUGUAAACUUCUGUCCUCAGGGAAGAAGGAAGUGACGGUACCUGAGGAGGAAGCCCCGGCUAACUACGUGCCAGCAGCCGCGGUAAUACGUAGGGGGCGAGCGUUGUCCGGAAUGACUGGGCGUAAAGGGCGCGUAGACGGUUUUUUAAGUCUGGAGUGAAAGUCCUGCUUUCAAGGUGGGAAUUGCUUUGGAGACUGGGGGACUUGAGUGCGGAAGAGGUAAGUGGAAUUCCCAGUGUAGCGGUGAAAUGCGUAGAGAUUGGGAAGAACACCAGUGGCGAAGGCGACUUACUGGGCCGUAACUGACGUUGAUGCGCGAAAGCGUGGGGAGCGAACAGG